AGCAGCCGCGGUAAUUCCAGCUCCAAUAGCGUAUAUUAAAGUUGUUGCAGUUAAAAAGCUCGUAGUUGAAUUUCGGGGUUUAUCCGUUGGUCGGGCUUUUUGGUCUGUACUGGCGUGAUGGAUUCCUACCUUCUGAAUAACCGGCAUGCCAUUAAUUUGGUGCGCCGGGGAAGCAGGACUGUUACCUUGAAAAAAUUAGAGUGUUUAAAGCAGGCUUACGCUUGAAUACAUUAGCAUGGAAUAAUGAAAUAGGACGUUUGAUUCUAUUUUGUUGGUUUCUAGGAUUGACGUAAUGAUUAAUAGGGAUAGUUGGGGGCAUUAGUAUUCAAUUGUCAGAGGUGAAAUUCUUGGAUUUAUUGAAGACUAACUACUGCGAAAGCAUUUGCCAAGGAUGUUUUCAUUAAUCAAGAACGAAAGUUAGGGGAUCGAAGACGAUCAGAUACCGUCGUAGUCUUAACCAUAAACUAUGCCGACUAGGGAUCGGAUGAUGUUAAUUUUUUAAUGACUCAUUCGGCGCCUU
rnacentral:rRNA from 1 species